CUACAGCUGACGAGUUCGAAACAGGACGAAACACGCGUCCUGGAU
rnacentral:hammerhead_ribozyme from 1 species